rnacentral:rRNA from 1 species
UACGUAGGGGGCAAGCGUUGUCCGGAAUCAUUGGGCGUAAAGAGCGUGUAGGCGGCCGUACAGGUCAGCUGUGAAAACUCGAGGCUCAACCUCGAGACGUCGGUUGAAACCGUACGGCUAGAGUUCGGUAGGGGAGACUGGAAUUCCUGGUGUAGCGGUGAAAUGCGCAGAUAUCAGGAGGAACACCGGUGGCGAAGGCGGGUCUCUGGGCCGAUACUGACGCUGAGGAGCGAAAGCGUGGGGAGCGAACAGG